CUUCUCCUUCAAUCCCUUAACUCCCGGUUUAGAAUAAUGGAAGGAGAAAGAAAUGGUGAAACUCUCAGUUUCUCUCUCGGUUGCUGCUGUCCAGAGUAGAAGUGUAAAGCUCUCUCACGUUGCAACUUCCUAUUAUUCUCCCUCGGUCGAUAACUCCUAUGCUGGUCACUCACUUCCUCUCAUUUGGUGGGGAACAAACUCUGAGUUCUCCUCUCAAUUUUGUUGCUAAUCAGACACUCCACAGCUUUU
rnacentral:lncRNA from 1 species